rnacentral:lncRNA from 1 species
GCACUUGCAGUCAGAACUCCGGGCCCCUCGGGGCGUGACUGCCCAGCUGUGUCACCCGGAGCAGCUCAUGCUGCUUCUAAGCUCAGCUUCCUUGUUGGCAAAGGGCCCUACUGUGUGGCACACGCCGUGCACGUCAGGACAAGCACAACGCAUGGCGCACACCACCUGCUGGGAGAGGCAAUUGUGCACUCUACAGCCACAGGGACAGGACACAGCGCGGUGAGCCCACCCGGUCCAGGAGCGCUGGGAAAGGGCCCCAGGAGAGGCAGCAGAGCUGAGACAGGACGACGACCAGGAGCGACCAGGAAGGGGAGGAGGAGAGUGCUCUGGGCAGAGGGGACAGCGUGUACAAAGGCCCGGAGUCUCAGUGUGCCACAUUGAGGUGUCACGCGCCACACUCCAUGGCAUCCACGCUACAGAUGCCAAAGGCCACGGGAAAGCGAGUUCGCCAUUCUGCUGAGGUGGGCAGGCUACUAUUCCCCGGGACGUGGCUGACACCCCUCACCUGCCCCGAUGUGCAGCUGAAGAGACCCCUCGUCCGGCCUUGGCCUCAGGGGAGGGACGAUGUCCAGCAAGCUUCUGUCUGACCCUGUGUCUGCCACAUCAACUGGAGCAGAGACAACUGGAUACAGAAAAUCCCAUUCACCAAGGUGGGUGCCCUCAGGAGGAAGGGCCUGCGCACGCUGCAACGUUGGGGAUGCAUUCUGAGAUCUAGCUGCAUUCUCGGAGAUAGAGCCACUGCCCCAACAAUUUCAGCGGCACAGUCUGGAAGGGCUCCCCACAGAUUCUUAAUUUACCCUCUGCAGCUGACAAAACACAAUCCCCACCCUCCACCAGAGGGGUCCACAACCUAACCCCAGAGCCUGGGAAUGUCACCUACGACGGGUCCACAACCUAACCCCAGAGCCUGGGAAUGUCACCUACGACGGGUCCACAACCUAACCCCAGAGCCUGGGAAUGUCACCAUACGACGGGUCCACAACCUAACCCCAGAGCCUGGGAAUGUCACCGUAUGAAGGGUCCACAACCUAACCCCAGAGCCUGGGAAUGUCACCUACGACGGGUCCACAACCUAACCCCAGAGCCUGGAAAUGUCACCAUAAGAGGGGUCCACAUCCUAACCCCAGAGCCUGGGAAUGUUACCAUAAGAGGGGUCCACAACCUAACCCCAGAGCCUGGGAAUGUCACUGAACGAGGGGUCCACAACCUAACCCCAGAGCCUGGGAAUGUCACCGAACGAGGGGUCCACAACCUAAUCCCAGAGCCUGGGAAUGUCACCGAACGAGGGGUCCGCAACCUAAUCCCAGAGCCUGGGAAUGUCACCGUUAAGAGGGGUCCACAACCUAACCCCAGAGCCUGGGAAUGUCACCGAACAAGGGGUCCACAACCUAACCCCAGAGCCUGGGAAUGUCACCGAACGAGGGGUCCACAACCUAAUCCCAGAGCCUGGGAAUGUCACCAUACGAGGGGUCCAUAACCUAACCCCAGAGCCUGGGAAUGUCACCUACGACGGGUCCACAACCUAACCCCAGAGCCUGGGAAUGUCACCACAUGAGGGGUCCACAACCUAACCCCAGAGCCUGGGAAUGUCACCGAACGAGGGGUCCACAACCUAAUCCCAGAGCCUGGGAAUGUCACCGUACGAGAGUCCCACAACCUAACCCCAGAGCCUGGGAAUGUCACUUUACAUGGCAAAAGGGACCUUUCUGAUGUGGGUAAAUUAAACGUCUGGAGGUGGGAGGUGAUCCUGGAUUAGCCACAUGUAUCCAGUGUGAUCCCAAGGAUCUUGACAGAGGGAGGCAGGAGCAGAGGAGGGGGAGGCACAGAGGCUGGGGUCAGGGGAACGGAUUCGCACUGCAGGUUCAAGUGUUCAUCCGCACUGACUAUAAUAGUCAAUAUAAAAAUAAGCCUGGUAGAUUACAGCAGCAGGCAAUGAGUUAACGUUGGAACUACAUCGAGAGCUCUCAGAAGUCACUAACAAAACAAACACUCCACUGGAGAAAUCAGGAAAGAAGGUGGUUACAACAU